rnacentral:rRNA from 1 species
UACGUAGGGGGCAAGCGUUGUCCGGAUUUAUUGGGCGUAAAGAGCGUGUAGGCGGCUUUGCAAGUCCGUUGUGAAAACUCGAGGCUCAACCUCGAGACGCCGGUGGAAACUGCAAAGCUAGAGUCCGGAAGAGGAGAGUGGAAUUCCUGGUGUAGCGGUGAAAUGCGCAGAUAUCAGGAAGAACACCCGUGGCGAAGGCGGGUCUCUGGGCCGUAACUGACGCUGAGGAGCGAAAGCAUGGGGAGCGAACAGG